rnacentral:rRNA from 1 species
GGACUACCGGGGUAUCUAAUCCUGUUUGAUCCCCAUGCUUUCGUAUCUCAGCGUCAAUUUAGGACCAGGUAGCCGCCUUCGCCACCGGUGUUCCUCCUGAUAUCUACGUAUUUCACCACUACACCAGGAAUUCCACUACCCUCUUCCAAAUUCAAGCUUAGCAGUAUCAUUUGCACUUCCCGGGUUAAGCCCGGGGAUUUCACAACUGACUUACAAAGCCGCCUACAUACUCUUUACGCCCAAUGAUUCCGAACAACGCUAGGAUCCCUCGUCUUACCGCGGCUGCUGGCAC